AGUGAACGCUGGCGGUAGGCCUAACACAUGCCAGUCGAACGGCAGCACAGUAAGAGCUUGCUCUUACGGGUGGCGAGUGGCGGACGGGUGAGGAAUACAUCGGAAUCUACUUUUUCGUGGGGGAUAACGUAGGGAAACUUACGCUAAUACCGCAUACGACCUACGGGUGAAAGCAGGGGAUCUUCGGACCUUGCGCGAUUGAAUGAGCCGAUGUCGGAUUAGCUAGUUGGCGGGGUAAAGGCCCACCAAGGCGACGAUCCGUAGCUGGUCUGAGAGGAUGAUCAGCCACACUGGAACUGAGACACGGUCCAGACUCCUACGGGAGGCAGCAGUGGGGAAUAUUGGACAAUGGGCGCAAGCCUGAUCCAGCCAUACCGCGUGGGUGAAGAAGGCCUUCGGGUUGUAAAGCCCUUUUGUUGGGAAAGAAAAGCAGCAGGUUAAUACCCCGCUGUUCUGACGGUACCCAAAGAAUGAGCACCGGCUAACUUCGUG
rnacentral:rRNA from 1 species